rnacentral:rRNA from 1 species
CAGUAGCCACGGGAAUACGUAGGUGGCAAGCGUUGUCCGGAAUUAUUGGGCGUAAAGCGAGCGCAGGCGUUUUGAUAAGUCUGAAGUUAAAGGCUGUGGCUCAACCAUAGUUCGCUCUGGAAACUGUCAAACUUGAGUGCAGAAGGGGAGAGUGGAAUUCCAUGUGUAGCGGUGAAAUGCGUAGAUAAAUGGAGGAACACCGGUGGCGAAAGCGGCUCUCUGGUCUGUAACUGACGCUGAGGCUCGAAAGCGUGGGGAGCGAACAGGAUUAGAUACCCUAGUAGUCCCUGUCUCUUAUACA